UCCAGUGCUGUGAUUUGCCCCCAACAUGU
rnacentral:piRNA from 2 species